rnacentral:misc_RNA from 1 species
AAGUCGUAACAAGGUUUCCGUAGGUGAACCUGCGGAAGGAUCAUUACUUUCAGUACUUUGGGGGCUGUCAGUCUAUAUCACUAUAGCGAGCCUCCGUCUGAAACCCUUGUCUUUUGCGUACCUUAUGUUUCCUCGGCGGGCUUGCCCGCCGGUUGGACAACCUUAAAACCCUUUUAAUUUUCAAUCAGCGUCUGAAAAAACAUAAUAAUUACAACUUUCAACAACGGAUCUCUUGGUUCUG